rnacentral:rRNA from 1 species
CGGUGCUCCGGGAGGGCCUCGCGGCCUAUCAGCUUGUUGGUGGGGUAACGGCCUACCAAGGCAUCGACGGGUAGCUGGUCUGAGAGGACGAUCAGCCACACUGGGACUGAGACACGGCCAGACUCCUACGGGAGGCAGCAGUGGGGAAUAUUGCGCAAUGGGCGAAAGCCUGACGCAGCAACGCCGCGUGGGGGAUGAAGGCCUUCGGGUUGUAAACCCCUUUCAGCAGGGACGAAAAUGACGGUACCUCCAAAAGAAGCCCCGGCCAACUACGUGCCAGCAGCCGCGGUAAGACGUAGGGGGCGAGCGUUGUCCGGAAUCAUUGGGCGUAAAGGGCUCGUAGGCGGCUCGGUAAGUCGAUCGUGAAAUCCCGGAGCUCAACUCCGGAACUGCGGUCGAUACUGCCGUGGCUAGAGUCAGGUAGAGGAGAGUAGAAUUCCCGGUGUAGCGGUGGAAUGCGCAGAUAUCGGGAGGAAUACCAUUUAGCGAAGGCGGCUCUCUGGGCCUGUACUGACGCUGAGGAGCGAAAGCGUGGGUAGCAAACAGGAUUAGAUACCCUGGUAGUC